CCUACGGGAGGCUGCAGUGGGGAAUUUUGGACAAUGGGGGCAACCCUGAUCCAGCCAUGCCGCGUGUGUGAAGAAGGCCUUCGGGUUGUAAACCUUAAGAACGGGGUACGCGGUACCGUAAGAAGAAGCACCGGCUAACUACGUGCCAGCAGCCGCGGUAAUACGUAGUGUGCGAGCGUUAAUCGGAAUUACUGGGCGUAAAGUGUGCGCAGGUGGCCGCGCAUGUCGAGUGUGAAAUCCCCGGGCUUAACUUGGGAAUUGCGCUCGAAACUACGUGGCUCGAGUGUGGCAGAGGAAGGUGGAAUUCCACGUGUAGCGGUGAAAUGCGUAGAGAUGUGGAGGAACACCGAUGGCGAAGGCAGCCUUCUGGGCCAAACUGACACUCAUGCACGAAAGCGUGGGGAGCAAACAGGAUUAGAUACCCUUGUAGUC
rnacentral:rRNA from 1 species